UACGUAGGAUGCGAGCGUUGUCCGGAAUUAUUGGGCGUAAAGAGAACGUAGGCGGUUUGUUAAGUUUGGGCUUAAAGACUGGGGCUCAACCCCAGGAGUGGCUCGAAAACUGACAGACUAGAGGAUGGCAGAGGAAAGUGGAAUUCCACGUGUAGCGGUGAAAUGCGUAGAGAUGUGGAGGAACACCAAUGGCGAAGGCAGCCUUCUGGGCCAACACUGACGCUCAUGCACGAAAGCGUGGGGAGCAAACAGG
rnacentral:rRNA from 1 species